rnacentral:rRNA from 1 species
GACGAACGCUGGCGGCAUGCCUAACACAUGCAAGUCGAACGGGACCUGCGGGUCUAGUUGCGCACGGGUGCUGAACGCGUGAGAACCUGGCCUUAGGUUCGGAAUAACUCCCCGUAAGGGGGGUUAAUGCCUGAAAAUGUGUUCGGACCAAGGAUUUAUGGCGUUUUGCUGGGCGGGGGUUGGAUUAGCUAGUUGGUAGGGGAAUAGCCUACCAAGGCUACGAUCCAUAGCUAGUCUGAGAGGAUGGUCAGCGAGACUGGGACUGAGACACGGAGCAGACUCCUACGGGAGGCAGCAGUGGGGAGUAUUGGACAAUGGGCGAAAGCCUGAUACAGCAAUGCUGCGUGAGUGAUGCAGGCCUUAGAGUUGUACAGCUCUUUUACCCGGGAUGAUAAUGACAGUACCGGGAGAAUAAGCGCCGGCUAACUACGUG